CUGAUAGCGCGCUGCUGAAAGAAUGCGAUAGGGUCUGGACAGGUGGGUUAUUUCUAAGCUUGGUUAAUGUGUCGAUCUAGGGCUCCCUUAGGCCUCAGACUUAUUUCCUGGAAACUUCUUAAAGUGAUAAGAGUGGCUCAAGAGCUGUGGAAAGUGACUGGUUCAGCGUCCUUCUCCAAGAAGGAGAGUGAGGGCUCUGUACGUGUGCGAACGCAGGCCCUCCCUCCCUGGCUCUGAGUCACACAGGGCGGCCCCUGUGCACGCUCCCGAGAGUCUUCAUGCCUCCUGCAGGGGGUGCCGAGAGUGCAUGGAGUCCCGUGUGCAGGGCGCCUGGCUCACUUCCUGGCACCGAGGCGGCCCUCACACGGCAGUCCUCGUCCUACAUGUCCUCACCUUGCACUUGAGGAAAAUGGGGCUGCACACCACCCGUGACCAGCCCCUGGCCAGGCUUCCAGAGUAGCUUCUGCUGCUACCGCCAGCCACAGCAGGGCGAUGGGAAGGUACGUGGAGAAGGGUCAUCUGUGAGCUGUGUGGAACUUCUGCAGGACUGGGGAAGGCAUGCCCCCUCCUCCAGGCUGCCCACGGGGAGUCGGCCGAGAGGAACAGCACAGAAGCCAAGAGGUCUUCAGUCAGAAGGCUCCGGGCCAAGGUGUUUCCAGGCUUGUGCACGCCGGGGGCACCUCGCUGUGCUGUGCCCCCAACCACCACACAUGCGCACACACACACACUCACACUCUCAGUGUUAGACCGUGUCGGAGAAGAGGCUGCGCUGAGGCCCAGAUGGCACCCAUGGUUCUCCAGCCUUGUGAGCGUGGAGUCCGAAUGGAAUAGCCUCCUCACUAUAGUCAUCAUGAUACUAACAUUUGUUGCAGGCAAGUGCUUAACAGAUUGCAGCCGACUGCAGAGUCUGAGCCAAGCACAUCUGGAUCUCACUGAGGGCGUGGCAGAGAGCAGGGGCUUUGGAACUGGGUUCGCGCCCCAGCUGGGCCCCUCACUAGCUGGGAGGGAGGCGGGGACUAGGCCCCGUGCUCAUCUGGGCUGGAGUUUCCUCUUCUGUAAAGUAGGGGUGGCAGCACCCACCACGCGGCAUUGCCUGAAAAGCCCCAGCCGGGCCCUCGGAGGACAGACAGCGAGUCGUGGCCAUUAUAACUGCUGUCAUUAUUUCGUUCUAGGGGCUGAUUGGAGGCCCUCUCUGGAGUUCGUCUUUGUUUCUCAAACUCCUUGCCAGGAAGCAUCCACUGACGUUAGCAGGAUGUCCGAGGAGCUCUGGCUGCGUUUCACCCUCAGCCCCAGGACUCGGCGUGAAUGACUCAGCUCCGACCGGGAAUCUCCCCUCGUUCAGUGCACACGUGAACCUUCAGGGAAAUUCACAGAAAACUCGGGGAGAAAUGGAAGCCAAGCGUCCACAUUCAGGCUGCCCAGGGCCGCACUCCAAACAGCCGGCUGUCGCUGACAGAUGAACACAGCUCCCACGGAGUUAACAGAUGUACGCACGUCUGAGGCAGUCAUGCGGCAAGAGACUUUGGGGCCAAUCCUUCCCGUUUUGACAGUGUGUAAUCGAGGUGAAGCCAUAAAUUUUAUAAACAAGAAUAAACGACCCUUAGCAACAUAUGUCUGCUCGACCCUUCCAAGGUGAUCGUAAAUAAAGGCACCUGCUCGCGGGGGAGGGACGUGGGCGCUGCAGAUGGCCAGUGACGAGGGCCAGAGGAUCUGCGCCUCCGGAGCAUCUGGUGCGGGGAGAGGUCACCCAGAGACCCCAGAUCCUGAGUCAGCUGGACGCAUUUCUGCCGUUGAUUCCAUCGGUUCUCCAGGCUGCCUUGGCGCCAGUGCCACCCUGAACCCGUGCCUACUUUUGAGGCCACUUGUAUCGGGGCCAGCAGGUCCUCUGGGUUUAGGGGACCCUCUUCUCUCCCCUGCCCCGUGUAAUUGCUAAUCACGUCCUCAUCGCCACUGUCCCAAGAUGGCCACUCCCGGGCAUCUGAAGACUGGAGUCCUUGUCCUGACUCAGCUGCUGCCCACGGGAGACCUCAGGCAGCCUGAGUCACCGUGGAGUGGUAAGAACGUGCUGGAGGACUGUGUGACUUCAAGCAAAUGACUUCACCCUCAGCCUCA
rnacentral:lncRNA from 1 species